rnacentral:rRNA from 1 species
UACAGGGGGGGCAAGCGUUGUUCGGAAUUACUGGGCGUAAAGGGCUCGUAGGUGGCCAACUAAGUCAGACGUGAAAUCCCUCAGCUUAACUGGGGAACUGCGCUUGAUACUGGGUGGCUUGAGUUUGGGAGAGGGAUGCGGAAUUCCAGGUGUAGCGGUGAAAUGCGUAGAUAUCUGGAGGAACACCGGUGGCGAAGGCGGCAUCCUGGACCAAUACUGACGCUGAGGAGCGAAAGCUAGGGGAGCAAACGGG